ACUUUAAUGAUGAUAAAUUUGAUAGGGACAUCUGAUGUCUAUGAUUGAUUUGUCCAAUUUGAUAGUAGACCUGAAUAA